GUUGCAUUGGACCAUAUAGCCAGGUAAUUUAAUUUUCUCAAGUUUAUUUGUAUUUGACCAAAGUCUGUCCUCAGGCAAUGCCAAACUUGUUGCACUGGGUUUUGUUUGUGAGGAUGAUCUUCUUGACUGGGGAAUGGAAGUUGUUGAGAAUUCAGGAUCAUGCAAAAUCCCCUAGUUUUGAUAAUAAGAAAAUAACUGCACUGCUUCGCUUAGGUUUUUGCUGGAAUUGUUGCGAAGUUCAUCGAAUUUGUCACUUCCUUGGGCAUCUACAAUUGCAUGUGCCUGUGUUGUCACCAGCGUGAAAUAAUUGUACAAGUACACUGGGAUCUGAAUCUCUUUUCUUCUGUUAAAUUGUUUACUCUUAGGCAACUUUGCAUAAGGAGAUGC
rnacentral:misc_RNA from 1 species